UACAGAGGGUGCGAGCGUUAAUCGGAUUUACUGGGCGUAAAGCGUGCGUAGGCGGUUGGGUAAGUCGGAUGUGAAAGCCCUGGGCUCAACCUGGGAAUGCCAUUCGAUACUGCCCGACUCGAGUUCGGUAGAGGGCGGUGGAACUCCAGGUGUAGCGGUGAAAUGCGUAGAUAUCUGGAAGAACACCAAUGGCGAGGGCAACCGCCUGGGCCUGAACUGACGCUGAGGCACGAAAGCGUGGGGAGCAAACAGG
rnacentral:rRNA from 1 species